rnacentral:lncRNA from 1 species
UUUUUUUUUGUUCUGGGACUGAGUAUGAAGAGAUUGAGAUGGGUACUAUUACUAAUAUUAUUGUUAUUAUUUCCAAGGUGUUGUUGUGAGCACACAGAAAUCCAUGGUCAGAGAGGUAAAAAAAACGGCUAGAUUUACGAAGGGUCUCAGAAUAAUCUCAGAAUAACCUCAGAAUAAUCUCUAGUUGGUGGGUCUGUGAUAAUCCAUGGUUGCAGUUGUAGAAAUGGUUGCUUCUGCACUAGUUUUAAGAGACUAGCAGAGAUAUGAAGAGACUUGCUGUUGUGGAAAGCAUUGGGGCCUCCGAGGAAAGCCUCAAAACUUGGAUCCUCAAGAACGAGUUGGAACCAUGAUCCAGUGCAUUGGUUGGGAAUAUAACCAUUGCAUGCAUCUCAUAAAAAACUGGACUAACCCAAAUAACAGUGAGUACGUAUGUAAAAGUAUUUAUAUCUAUUUAUAUAUACAUAUACACGAUUUGAUUGCUCAUUCAACUUGAACUGUAACUCUUCAAUGACUUCUUUUCAUUACUCCCUUUUUGAUAACUUAUUUUAUUUUAAUUUUUUCAAAUGUAGAAGCUUAUUCGCUUUGAAUAGCAGUUUGCUAUAAUCAUGCACUAUUGGGUUCCACCUUCCUCAUAAAAUAAAUGACAUAUCAUUAUGAUGUCAGUUAAACUGUUUUCAUUACCAAAUAGUUUAAACAAUUCGACCAACAACAAUCAAAAGGCAACAGUUUCACCACCAUAUUGGUGGUGACAUUUUCUUACGGACAUGGCUUCCAAUUUAAACAAGUUCUAGAACUGUCCAUUUUUAAAAUUUAUCAAAAAUUGACUUUAAUUCUAAAAACGAAAUCAUUCUUGAAAAUUUAUUCAUUUGAAAAGUUUAUCUGUUGAUUACAGGGAGGAGACGAAGAUUCCAAUCAGAAGAGAAUAUAAAUUAAAAAGAAACGUUCUCAUUCAAAUUUUUAACAAGGAAAAGCUCAAUAUGAACAUUGUGAUUAAUUACAAUAGUUCAUUUUAGGAUCAAUAUAAGGAUGAUGAUAAGUAAAAUUAAAACUAAAAUACUUUCCAUUUAAAAACUUGUGUGAAUUAGACAGAAUUAUAUAAUGAUACAAUGAUCAACACAAACACACUGUUAUUAACAAGUGAAUGAAAACCUAAAUAAAUGACAAAGGAACUUUUUAUCAUGUAUUCUGGGAAACAUUAUGCAAAUCCGCCUUGAAUGCUUCAUCAUGCCCAUCA